rnacentral:misc_RNA from 1 species
GAAAUGCGAUAAGUAAUGUGAAUUACAGAAUUCAGUGAAUCAUCGAAUCUUUGAACGCACAUUGCGCCCGCCAGCAUUCUGGCGGGCAUGCCUGUUCGAGCGUCAUUUCAACCCUCGAGCCCCCCCGGGGGCCUCGGUGUUGGGGGACGGCACACCAGCCGCCCCCGAAAUGCAGUGGCGACCCCGCCGCAGCCUCCCCUGCGUAGUAGCACACACCUCGCACCGGAGCGCGGAGGCGGUCACGCCGUAAAACGCCCAACUUUCUUAGAGUUGACCUCGGAUCAGGUAGGAAUACCCGCUGAACUUAAGC